GCCUUCUUGGCUCAGUUGGCUAGAGCGCAGGUCUCAUAGCAAUAUGACAUAAUUCCGAUUAUGCAAUCCUGAGGUCGCAAGUUCGAGCCUUGCAGAGGGCA